CUAAUACAAUUAGUACAAUACACCGUUGUCUUUAGCGGCUACACAAAAGAAUCAUUGUUUUAACCAAUUAAUAAGAGUGUUUCCUCUAUUCAAUUUAGGCGUGAGUUCGAGUGUUCAACCACAAGAUAAUCGCUAAAGGGCGGUACCAACAAUAAAGAUAGCAGCUAAAUUAGCUGAGCAGCCUGCGGACGGCACGAUUUUUGCAGCUUACAGGCUGGAGUAGAUUUUUCCUUUUGGGUUUCCUUUAGUAGGAAGGAAAGGGACAGAUCUGGCGACGGGCGCGGGAAUCAAAUUCGUAAACGUCCAGAUUACUCCAACAUGAUCUGCGAUUUCUGCGGUGUCAAAGGGCACAUUAAACGAAGAUGUUUUAAGUUGAAGAACAUGCAAAGAGGUUCCGUGCAUUUCGUGGAUGAUGAACAACAGCCAGGACCAAGCAGUGUUAGCUGAUUGCAGGAUAUUUUCAGCCAGAUGCAGACGGAGGAUUCGGGCAGUGAUGAGGAUCGCGACACAGGUUGCAGUUGGAAACGCGACAAUCAUGGCACACCGGACGCAACUUCGUCAGGACAACGCAGAUAAGUCUGUACGACCAAACGUUUAUGUGCCUCUUCCGGCUGGGAUUUCUUGCACCAGCGACGAAGAACCGUUUAAGGGAUAUCCGGAAGAAGAAAUACGAAUUAUAAAUAGAAAGAAGCGCAAACAUGCGUUAGUUGAGUCUGAGGACGACGUUCCAAGACGAUCGAAAAGGAUUAGAAUGGCUAAGGUCGCAAAGUAUAAUGAUUUUAUAUUUCAGUAAUGUUAUUUUUUAUGAAUUAAAAUUGUCAAAAUAAUUGUUCAUUUCGAAUAAGAUUGAUAUGUUUACUUUUGUGAAAGGGAAGAGCUGUUGUGUAUACAGUAAUUUUAUAAACUAUUCUUUCGAAUAGAUCACUUGGUUCAGUGUACAAAUGUACACCGAGCUGAAACUGGACGAAUGUCAAAUUGAUACACCAACACAUAUACCGACCAACUAGUCGGACUUCGA